UAUUAGCCCUGAUAAUAGUGAAAAUCCUAUUAUUUAUGAGUUCUUAUAGAACUCAUAAAUAAUAGAUUGAAACGAAUAGCAGGAAUUGCG
rnacentral:sRNA from 1 species